ACUUGAUGUUAGGAUGGAGAAGUGACUUUCAAGCUCCUUACAUGUGGAACCAGAAACUGGAAGCCACCUCUAAAGUGUGAAAAACUAUCUGUCAGUGUGUAGCCAGCUGUCUACGUGCAACAGGAGGGUCGUGAGAGCUUCUGAAGAAUUCCCAUUGCAUUCAGAUGACAGUCGGCUGUGUGACUGGAUGCUGAGUUGGAAUAAUUAUUGGAUUUGGAAAUGUAAAUACUAUGUAACACAUGGUUAUACUUUCUAUCAGCUCUUCUCAGUCUAUCAGACCUUUGUAGCUUCAUCUCUUUAUCCAGUUUAAAAAUAUAACUAUUUUUAAUUAUAUCUUAUAUUAAGAAAUGCACCAUAGAUCCAAAUUAAAUAAAUGUAAACACAUACAUACACAGAUGACUGGAACAACUUUGGUAUAAUAACUAUUCUUACUGUAUACAUACACUCUGAAUUUUCAUCCUGUAAUUAUGCUUAAAAGUUUUAAGCCAGUAAAAUCUAACCAAAUAUAUUUUAAUUAUCAGUAAUAGAUUAUAGUCCAAGUUUGAAAAACUUUGCCUUAAAAUUUUUGAGGGUUUUAUUUUAGACGUUUAUCUAAUCCUUUCUAGGAAUUUGUAGUCUUCCAAGUUCAUCAUUACCUAAGUCUCUAGAAAAGGCAAGCCCAAGGUCACAAGGGCUUUAAACACAUCCUAUUUCUCAACUACUGCUUUUUGUAAUAUUAAUGAAAAAUAAUGCCCAAAGGAUAAGAGAAGGGUCUUUAUAUAUCUGUCAUUAAAUAAGACUUCUCCAAAGCCACUUCUCUGCUUAAUUAAUUACUGAACAGUCCUCUGAGAGAAAUACUACUCAAUAUAAGACAAUAUUGUAUUAAUAAUGACUUCACAGAGGAGGAUAUUUCUGUGUCAAGAGCAGGAAUCCCCUUUACAAUGGUUUUCUAUGUUUGUAUUGUUAUAUUGCUGCUUUUAUAUUUGU